AACAUGACUCUCGACAACAGAUAUCUCAACUCUCACCACGAUGAAGAAUGUAGUGAAAUGUGUUACUUAGUGUGAAUUGCAAAAUCUCGUGAAUCAUCGUGUCUUUAAAUGCAAGUUGCACUUGAGGCUCUAGUUGAGGGCACGUUUUCUUGGGCAUCGCAC
rnacentral:rRNA from 1 species